rnacentral:tRNA from 1 species
CGGGGUGUGGCUCAGAGGUAGAGUGCUACAUUCGGGAUGUAGAAGUCGCGCGUUCGAAUCGCGUCACUCCGA